rnacentral:rRNA from 1 species
GAGUUUGAUCUUGGCUCAGGAUGAACGCUGGCGGCGUGCUUAACACAUGCAAGUCGAACGGAAAGGCCCUUGCUUGCAAGGGUGGCUCGAGUGGCGAACGGGUGAGUAACACGUAGGUGAUCUGCCUUUCUACUUCGGGGAUAAGCUUGGGAAACUGGGCCUAAUACCGGAUAUUCACGGCACCGUGGUUGGUGUGGUGGAAAGCUUUUGUCGGUGGGAGAUGAGCUUGCGGCCUAUCAGCUUGUUGGUGGGGUAAUGGCCUACCAAGGCGGCGACGGGUAGCCGGCCUGAGAGGGUGUGCGGCCACAUUGGGACUGAGAUACGGCCCAGACUCCUACGGGAGGCAGCAGUGGGGAACUUUGCACAAUGGGCGGAAGCCUGAUGCAGCGACGCCGUGU